rnacentral:rRNA from 1 species
GACGAACGCUGGCGGCGUGCCUAACACAUGCAAGUCGAACGGAAAGGCCCUGCUCUUGUGGCGUGCUCGAGUGGCGAACGGGUGAGUAACACGCGAGUAACCCGUCCCUGACUUUGGGAUAACUUCAGGAAACUGGGGCGAAUACCCGAUAUGAGCUCCUGCUGCAUGGUGGGGGUUGGAAAGUUUCGGCGGUUGGGGAUGGACUCGCGGCUUAUCAGCUUGUUAGUGGGGUAGUGGCUUACCAAGGCUUUGAAGGGUAGCCGGCCUGAGAGGGUUACCGGGCACAUUGGGACUGAGAGAGGGAGCAGACUGCAACGGGAGGCAGCGGUGGAGAGUAUUGCACAGUGGGCGGAAGCCUGAUGCAGAGACGCCGCGUGCGGGAUGACGGGCUUCGGGUUGUGAACCGCUUUCGCCUGUGACAAGGCGUGAGUGACGGUAAUGGAUAAGGAAGCACCGGCUAACUACGUG